rnacentral:rRNA from 1 species
GUGCACGCUGGCGGCCGGCCUAACACAUGCAAGUCGAGCGGCAGCGCGGGGGCAACCCUGGCGGCGAGCGGCGGACGGGUGAGGAAUUCGUCGGAAUCUGCCUUUUUGUGGGGGAUAACGUAGGGAAACUUACGCUAAUACCGCAUACGUCCUACGGGAGAAAGUGGGGGACCGCAAGGCCUCACGCAGAAAGAUGAGCCGACGACCGAUUAGCUAGUUGGUGGGGUAAAGGCCCACCAAGGCGACGAUCGGUAGCUGGUCUGAGAGGAUGAUCAGCCACACUGGGACUGAGACACGGCCCAGACUCCUACGGGAGGCAGCAGUGGGGAAUAUUGGACAAUGGGCGCAAGCCUGAUCCAGCCAUGCCGCGUGUGUGAAGAAGGCCUUCGGGUUGUAAAGCACUUUUGUCCGGAAAGAAAUCCCUGGAGCUAAUACCUUCGGGGGAUGACGGUACCGGAAGAAUAAGCACCGGCUAACUUCGUG